rnacentral:rRNA from 1 species
AGCGAACGCUGGCGGCAGGCCUAACACAUGCAAGUCGAACGAACUCUUCGGAGUUAGUGGCGGACGGGUGAGUAACACGUGGGAACGUGCCUUUUGGUUCGGAAUCACUCAGGGAAACUUGUGCUAAUACCGAAUGUGCCCUUCGGGGGAAAGAUUUAUCGCCAUUAGAGCGGCCCGCGUCUGAUUAGCUAGUUGGUGAGGUAACGGCUCACCAAGGCGACGAUCAGUAGCUGGUCUGAGAGGAUGACCAGCCACACUGGGACUGAGACACGGCCCAGACUCCUACGGGAGGCAGCAGUGGGGUAUCUUGCGCAAGGGGCGAAAGCCUGACGCAGCCAUGCCGCGGGAAAGAUGAAGGUCUUAGGAUUGUAAAAUUCUUUCACCGGGGACGAUAAUGACGGUACCCGGAGAAGAAGCCCCGGCUAACUUCGUG